ACACUGUGCAAUGCGCGAAAGCGCGACACGGGGAGCUUGAGUGUCUUGGCAUAGCCAAGACUUUUCUCAUUCCUAAAAAGCAUGAGGAAUAAGUGCUGGGUAAGACGGGUGCCAGCCGCCGCGGUAACACCCGCAGCACGAGUAGUGGUCACUUUUAUUGAGCCUAAAGCGUUCGUAGCCGGUUUUGUAAAUCUUCAGAUAAAGCCUGAAGCUUAACUCCAGAAAGUCUGAAGAGACUGCAAGACUUGAGAUCGGGUGAGGUUAAACGUACUUUCAGGGUAGGGGUAAAAUCCUGUAAUCCCGGAAGGACGACCAGUGGCGAAAGCGUUUAACUAGAACGAAUCUGACGGUAAGGAACGAAGGCUAGGGUAGCAAACCGGAUUAGAUACCCGGGUAGUCCUAGCUGUAAACAUUGCCCAUUUGAUGUUGCUUUUCCGUUGAGGGAAGGCAGNGUCGGAGCGAAGGGUUUACAG
rnacentral:rRNA from 1 species